AGAGCGCAGAGUGAAUGCCUUGGCAUUGGGAGCCGAUGAAGGACGUGGUUAACUGCGAUAAGCUGCGGGGAGCUGUAAGCAAGCUUUGAUCCGCAGAUUUCCGAAUGGAGCAAUCCACAUGAAGUAGUUCAUGUAUCCAUACGUGAAUUCAUAGCGUAUGGAGGGGAACCGCCUGAACUGAAACAUCUAAGUAGGGCGAGGAAGAGAAAUCAACCGAGAUUCCGUAAGUAGUGGCGAGCGAACGCGGAAGAGGCCAAACCGAGAGAAGAAAUUCUUUCGGGGUUCGGACUGCAUUUAGUAUUCUUGAUCUUUAGUCGAACAGUCUGGGAAGGCUGACGAGAGAGUGUGAUAGUCACGUAGACGAAAAGGAGAAAGAGCGAGCAGUAUCCAGAGUACCGCGGGGCACGUGAAAUCCCGUGGGAAGAUGGGGGGACCACCCUCCAAGCCUAAAUACUACCCAAUGACCGAUAGCGUAAAGUACUGUGAAGGAACGGUGAAAAGAACCCCGGGAGGGGAGUGAAAAGAACCUGAAACUCUGUGCUUACAAGCACAUAGAGCACGUCAAUGUGUGAUAUGGUACCUUUUGUAGAAUGGUCCGGCGAGUUAUGGUAUGCAGCGUGGUUAAGGACUUCAGGUCUGAAGCCGAAGCGAGAGCGAGUCUGACAAGGGCGAAAAGUUGUAUGCCAUAGACCCGAAACCGGGUGACCUAGCCAUGUCCAGGCUGAAGUGGAGGUAAAACUCCAUGGAGGGCCGAACCGACCUCCGUUGAAAAGGCGGCGGAUGAGAUGUGGCUAGCGGAGAAAUUCCAAUCGAACCCGGAUAUAGCUGGUUCUCCCCGAAAUAGCUUUAGGGCUAGCGUUGUAUUAGAUUACCGGAGGUAAAGCACUGAAUGGGCUAGGGGCUGAGAAGUUACUGAACCCUAUCAAACUAAGAAUGCCGGAUAAUUGAUGUACAACAGUCAGACUAUGUGAGAUAAGUCUCAUAGUCAAAAGGGAAACAGCCCAGACCCACAGCUAAGGUCCCAAAAUGGAUUUAAGUGGAAAAGGAUGUGGAAUUGCACAGACAACCAGGAUGUUGGCUUAGAAGCAGCCACUCAUUUAAAGAGUGCGUAAUAGCUCACUGGUCGAGUGAUUCUGCGCCGAAAAUUUCCGGGGCUAAAACUUACUACCGAAGCUACGGCAUCAUUAUGAUGGGUAGGGGAGCUUUCUAUGUGGCUUGAAGCAUGACCGUAAGGACAUGUGGACUGCAUAGAAGUGAGAAUGUUGGCAUGAGUAGCGAGAUGUGGGUGAGAAUCCCACAGGCCGUAAACCCAAGGUUUCCAGGGGAAGGUUCGUCCGCCCUGGGUUAGUCAGGACCUAAGCCGAGGCCGAAAGGCGUAGGUGAUGGACAACAGGUUGAUAUUCCUGUACCACCAAUAACCGUUUGAGAAAUGGGAUGACACAGUAGGAUAAGCUAACCGCACUGUUGGUUAUGUGCGGGCAAGUAUUGAGGCAGUUCCGAUAGGCAAAUCCGUCGGAAUAAUGCUGGGGUACGAUGCGGAGCGAAAUUUAGUAGCGAAGUAGCUGAUUUCACACUGUCGAGAAAAGUCUCUAUCGAGGUUAAAGGUGCCUGUACCGCAAACCGACACAGGUGGGUGAGGAGAGUAUCCUAAGGCCAGCGAGAGAACUGUUGUUAAGGAACUCGGCAAAAUGACCCCGUAACUUAGGGAGAAGGGGUGCCUUCGAAAGAAGGCCGCAGAGAAUAGGCCCAAGCGACUGUUUACCAAAAACAUAGGUUUCUGCUAAGUCGCAAGACGAUGUAUAGGAGCUGACGCCUGCCCGGUGCUGGAAGGUUAAGGGGAUCUGUUAGAGCAAUCGAAGCAGUGAACUUAAGCCCCAGUAAACGGCGGCCGUAACUAUAACGGUCCUAAGGUAGCGAAAUUCCUUGUCGGGUAAGUUCCGACCCGCACGAAAGGCGUAACGAUUUGGGCACUGUCUCAACAAUAGACUCGGUGAAAUUGUAAUCCCGGUGAAGAUGCCGGGUACCUGCGACAGGACGGAAAGACCCCAUGGAGCUUUACUGUAGCUUGACGUUGGGUCUUGGUACUACAUGUACAGGAUAGGUGGGAGACUAUGAAGCAUGGACGCCAGUCUGUGUGGAGUCAUCCUUGGGAUACCACCCUUGUAGUACUGGGAUCCUAACCAUAGGCCUUGAAUCAGGUCUUGGAACACCGUCAGGUGGGCAGUUUGACUGGGGCGGUCGCCUCCUAAAAAGUAACGGAGGCGCUCAAAGGUUUCCUCAGCACGGUCGGAAAUCGUGCGAAGAGUGUAAAGGCAAAAGGAAGCUUGAUUGCAAGACAUACAGGUCGAGCAAGGACGAAAGUCGGACUUAGUGAUCCGGUGGUACCGCAUGGAAGGGCCAUCGCUCAACGGAUAAAAGCUACCCUGGGGAUAACAGGCUGAUCUCCCCCAAGAGUCCACAUCGACGGGGAGGUUUGGCACCUCGAUGUCGGCUCAUCACAUCCUGGGGCUGUAGUAGGUCCCAAGGGUUGGGCUGUUCGCCCAUUAAAGUGGUACGCGAGCUGGGUUCAGAACGUCGUGAGACAGUUCGGUCCCUAUCCGUCGCAGGCGUAGGAAAUUUGAGAAGACCUGUCCUUAGUACGAGAGGACCGGGAUGGACGUACCUCUGGUGUACCAGUUGUUCUGCCAAGGGCAUGGCUGGGUAGCUAUGUACGGAAUGGAUAAGCGCUGAAAGCAUCUAAGCGCGAAGCCAACUUCAAGAUAAGAUUUCCCACCGUAAGGGUAAGACCCCAGGAAGACUACCUGGUUGA
rnacentral:rRNA from 1 species